UGGGGAAUAUUGCACAAUGGAGGGAACUCUGAUGCAGCGACGCCGCGUGAACGAAGAAGGCUUUCGAGUCGUAAAGUUCUUUUAUAUGGGAAGAUAAUGACGGUACCAUAAGAAAAAGCCCCGGCUAACUACGUGCCAGCAGCCGCGGUAAUACGUAGGGGGCUAGCGUUGUCCGGAAUCACUGGGCGUAAAGGGUUCGCAGGCGGAAAUGCAAGUCAGGUGUAAAAGGCAGUAGCUUAACUACUGUAAGCAUUUGAAACUGCAUAUCUUGAGAAGAGUAGAGGUAAGUGGAAUUUUUAGUGUAGCGGUGAAAUGCGUAGAUAUUAAAAAGAAUACCGGUGGCGAAGGCGACUUACUGGGCUCAUUCUGACGCUGAGGAACGAAAGCGUGGGUAGCAAACAGG
rnacentral:rRNA from 8 species